UUAAAGAAGGAAGAGCAAAAGCACACGGUCGGAAAUGAGUCUAGGACGGACCUCUUUCUUAAUGUCCGGUGUCUAAGGUCUCGAGAUUUUGUGCCAUGCAU
ensembl:snoRNA